GACGAACGCUGGCGGCGUGCCUAAUACAUGCAAGUAGAACGCUGAAGGAGGAGCUUGCUUCCCUGGAUGAGUUGCGAACGGGUGAGUAACGCGCAGGUAACCUGCCUGGUAGCGGGGGAUAACUAUUGGAAACGACAGCUCAUACCGCAUAAGAGUAGAUGUUGCAUGACAUUUGCUUAAAAGGUGCAAUUGUAUCAUUACCAGAUGGACCUGCGUUGUAUUAGUUAGUUGGUGGGGUAACGGCUCACCAAGGCGACGAUACAUAGCCGGCCUGAGAGGGGGAUCGGCCACACUGGGACUGGGACACGGCCCAGACUCCUACGGGAGGCAGCAGUAGGGAAUCUUCGGCAAUGGACGGAAGUCUGACCGGGCAACGCCGCGUGGGGGAAGAAGGGUUUCGGAUCGUAAAGCCCUGUUGUAAGAGAAAAACGAGUGUGAGAGUGGAAAGUUCACGCUGUGACGGUAUCUUACCAGAAAGGGACGGCUAACUACGUG
rnacentral:rRNA from 1 species